GUCCGGCAGCCUUCUCUGGAACUUGGAAUGUGGCUGGCGGCCGCGAGCUUAACCUCCGACGGUCGUAGGGUGCGUGCGUCGCAACAAGCGCAGAACUUCACACUUCUUAGGAGCGGACAGACGCUUUCCGAGUGGCUCAGCACAGGAAAGGAAAGAUGACGGUGAAGACUGAGCAUGACGGACUCUGCACACAUUCACUCUUCAGGCUGCGUUCCGCCUCUCAGGUGGUCAGGAAGGGUCUGUCUGAAGAAUCAACACUGAAGCUGAGGCCCCCCUCACAAAUUCCUUCCACAUGAUAAUAAUCUAUUUGCAAGCGUGGUCCCCACAGGAGGUUGAAACAGUAUAGUGUCCUGGAAAAAAAAAAAUCGCAGUGUUUGGAAUAAGCGACGCCCGGGUUCUCCUCCCAGCCCUGUUCCUUCUCAACUUCCUGCCGAAUGGAAACAGCCACCCCCAGAACGCGGGAGUGAGAACGCGUGAGACUCGGCUCGUGAGGCCCCGUAACAGCUGGGCCCACUUGCCCAGAGUUCUUGCCCCAGAGACACAGAGAGAAGUCUCGUCCUGAGCUCCCGCCCCCUGGCCUGCUUCCACGGCCUGUGGCCUGGAGGACCGUCCCCCUCCUCUUAUCUCAUCUUGAUAGUCUGUGCCUCACGUCCUCCUCACCCUCCACCAUGCCCCUCUGUCCGGAAGGUCCUACCCCCUCACCACCCCAGUUAAGGGCGGUGGGUCUCGGGAAGUUCCUGGCAGUCCAGUGAUUAAACGAGGUACUCACUGUGGUGGCCCAGUUUCAAUCCUUGGUCAGGGAACUAAGAUCCUGCAAGCUGUGCGGAGCAGCCAAAAAAAAAAACCAAAAAUAGUGAAUCUGUUGUCUCCCCUUCGUCCUCUCACUCUUAACUUCCAAGAGUCCCUAAAACUUCAACAACUUUCACUCCUUCUCCCUCAUGCUGUCCUUGGGAAUAUCAUCCAUUCAUAGGGCUUCAAGAUGUACACCCUCAUGGGCAACUCCCAGAUAUUCAUCACCAACCCCAGUCUGACUGCUCACCUGGUUGCCUGCUCAGCUCACAACCAUCUCUGGAAACAGCCCCAGUACGCCAGAACAUCCUAUAGCAAGCCGGUCUCAACUAUGUGAUACUGCCAACU